rnacentral:rRNA from 1 species
CCUACGGGGGGCUGCAGUGAGGAAUAUUGGUCAAUGGCCGUAAGGCUGAACCAGCCAAGUAGCGUGAGGGAAGACUGCCCUAUGGGUUGUAAACCUCUUUUAUGCGGGGAUAAAGGUGUCCACGUGUGGCUGUUUGCAGGUACCGCAUGAAUAAGGACCGGCUAAUUCCGUGCCAGCAGCCGCGGUAAUACGGAAGGUCCGGGCGUUAUCCGGAUUUAUUGGGUUUAAAGGGAGCGUAGGCCGGUCUUUAAGCGUGCCGUGAAAUUUUGUGGCUCAACCAUGAGAGUGCGGCGCGAACUGGAGACCUUGAGUGCGCGGAAGGCAGGCGGAAUUCGUGGUGUAGCGGUGAAAUGCUUAGAUAUCACGAAGAACCCCGAAUGCGAAGGCAGCCUGCCGCAGCGUUACUGACGCUGAAGCUCGAAAGCGCGGGUAUCGAACAGGAUUAGAUACCCGAGUAGUC